rnacentral:rRNA from 1 species
CCCUUAGAUGUUCUGGGCCGCACGCGCGCUACACUGAUGCAUUCAACGAGUCUAAAACCUGGUCUGAUAGGGCUGGGUAAUCUUUUGAACGUGCAUCGUGAUUGGGAUAGAUGAUUGCAAUUCUUCAUCUUCAACGAGGAAUGCCUAGUAAACGCAAGUCAUCAGCUUGCAUUGAUUACGUCCCUGCCCUUUGUACACACCGCCCGUCGCUCCUACCGAUUGAAUGAUCCGAUGAAUACCAUGGAUUGAGAGUACGAAUGGGUUCGCUCAUUUCUGCUGCUCGAGAAGUGGAGUAAAUCUUAUCAUUUAGAGGAAGGAGAAGUCGUAACA